CGGCGUCGGCGUCGACUUCUCCAGCUUCAACGGAGGAGUCAGAUACGGAGUCGGCGUCGGCGUCGCGCACGGCGGAAUCGGUGACAGGUGUCUCGACAUCUUCAGUUUCAACCGAGGCGUCAGGUAGGUGCUCGGAGACGGCGUCGCACACGGCGGAGUCGAUAACAGGAGUCUCGGCUUCUUUAGUUUCAACCGAGGCGUCAGGUAGGUGCUCGGAGACGGCGUCGCACACGGCGGAGUCGAUAACAGGAGUCUCGGCUUCUUUAGUUUCAACCGAGGCGUCAGGUAGGUGCUCGGAGACGGCGUCGCACACGGCGGAGUCGAUAACAGGAGUCUCGGCUUCUUUAGUUUCAACCGAGGCGUCAGGUAGGUGCUCGGAGACGGCGUCGCACACGGCGGAGUCGAUAACAGGAGUCUCGGCUUCUUUAGUUUCAACCGAGGCGUCAGGUAGGUGCUCGGAGACGGCGUCGCACACGGCGGAGUCGAUAACAGGAGUCUCGGCUUCUUUAGUUUCAACCGAGGCGUCAGGUAGGUGCUCGGAGACGGCGUCGCGCACGGCGGAGUCGAUAACAGGUGUCUUGGCUUCUCCACUUUCAACGGAGGCGUCAG
rnacentral:lncRNA from 1 species